GGGCUGUGCAGGAGCAGUCACCUUUGGGCAGGUGAGGGGAAGGGGUUACUUGUAGCUCAAAUGUAGCAUGUGCUGGGAAGGGCAGCUCCAGCCUGUGUCUGUGGUGGUGGCUGUAGUUUGUGUCGUCUGUCUUUGGUGUCUUAGAGCUUUCUCGGGUCUUGAUGUCAUCUUUGUUCUUUUGGACCCAGUUGUGCCUCUCGUGCACCAUCGCUAGGGCCCGGAACACCUGUAUUCACCAGCAUAUUUGCCAAUCGGGAGCUUCUCGUCUUGCGUAACAACACGAAAGCACAGAUCGGUCCUGCAUCUCAGGAGUUUCUUAAGGUCUUCUUGCGUGACGUAGUCCCUGAGCGCAUCGGCAUCUCCAGUUCUCUGGCCAUUGACUUUCUCAGACUGGGACUUCUUCCCCGCAUCCUUACGUUUUCAGGUCUUGAAGCCGGGCUUCUCGCACAUCCAUCCUCUCGGUUUUGACUAUAAACUCUUGUAACGGUCAGUUAUGCUGAACUCAUUCCCGGGGCUGCUGUAGAGCCGCCUCCCCUCAACAUCGCUUUCUCUUAAGCGGUCUCGCCCGACAGUGUUGGAGAGCGGAGCUGUUCCAUUCACCGAGAGUGUUUUCAUAUAGUUUGUAGGGUCGUGUGGUGUCUCAGUCUGCACGUGUGUGUUUGGCUUGGAGCUGCUCUUCCCAGGGCUGUCAAGGACCGGUGGAGGAGAGUCUGGGAUGUGUUUUGCUAAGGCUGGACCGUUCUGGCCAAGGCUGUAUGGUCAUCUUGGACCAAGUGGCCACUGUCAAGAUGGGUUGAUAGUCACUUCUGUGGUGUUCAAUGGAGAUGACUUAAGCCUUCUGGCAGAUUCUGUUUAGUUGUACUGAGGCAGAGUGAACCUGAAAGAUGUUAAGACUUGUCUGGGUGGAGUUAAAAGUUUGGGGUUGUGGCUUUUGUUUUUUUUGCUGCCUGUAGUUGUGUUCUAGAUGUUAUUAAAUGGGAACAAGGUCUAUGGAAGUGGAAAGCUAAGGAGCAGCCUCCUGGUGACUUGUGUCAUACUUUUUCAGAUGUUGGGUGAAAGGAGGAGCACCGAACAAAUGAGGGAGGAGAGUGGAAGAUGGAAGCAGUGAGGUGUUGCCCAGGCCUCAUAGCGGCAGAGACAAAUGGCAGAAGGGUCAGGGUGCCACACCUGGGUCAAGCUCUAAUGAACAACCUAUGGGACAGAAGUGCCAGGAUCUGAUCUCUGAGGAGCCCAAGGCUAAGAGGGGAUCCAUCAGCACAUAGGGCCCCUCUCUGAGAAGGAGUUUGGAAAGCAAGGGAGUCAGGUCUGAACCUCAGGGCUCAGCAGGAGGCUCAGACUUCUCCUCAACAUGUCAGAGGGAUCCAGCCAUAUGCUGAAGAGGUACCAGAGAAGGUCUCCUUAAUGCUUCGGAGAGACAAAGCAGCCCGCACAGGAGCGUCUGGAGAAGGUGAGUCGGUUGUGGGCCAGGUUUGCAGUAUUUUAUCGGCACUCAGUUAUGCAUUUCCCUUUUGGUUUUGCAGGUGCCGCGCAGGCCACAUUUUGAAUCGGAUGAGCAUUUGAGGUGCCGCACCCAGGUCACGUCGUAACGAGCCACCUUCGGGACAGAAGCGUGAGGAUCCGACCUUUGAGGAGCCCGAGGCUAGGAAUGGGUGUAGCAGCACCUUGAGCCCCUCUCUGAGAAGGAGUUAGAAAGCAAGGGGCUCUAUUCUGAGCCUCAAAGCUACAGAGGUUCAGAUGCUUCUUUAACACUUGAUGCUUGAGAAGGGACCAGCCUGUUUGCUAAGGAGGAGGUGCCACACAGGCCACCUUUGGAAUCGGAUGAGCGCUCGAGGUGCUAUGAGGGAUGACAGCAACAGCAUCUCUGGGACGAGCAGGUGCUGAAGAGGAACCGUGUGACCGGAACAUCCCUGUCAGCUGAUGCGAUUUGCUUGAUGACCACGGCUUCAGAUCCCAAGACCUCUGCGAGAUAAGUUGAGGGACCAGGGUCUGGGAAGCAGUGGACAGAGGAGAGAUGGUUGGGAACUGCAGGAAGGGGUUUUAAAGCAGGGGAGAGGGCUCUGCAGGAGCAGUUCCCUUUGGGCAGCCAAAGGCAGCAGGUCACUUCUCAGGAAGAGUCCAGCACGUGCGGGGCAGGGCAGCUCCAACCUGCGUGUGACGGUGUGUGGUUUGUUAUCUGUGGUGUCUCGGAGGCUCCUCCGGUCUCGCUGUCUUCUCGGUGCUCUCAGAGCCCCUCACCCAUCUCGGGCACCAUCCCUAGGCUCAGAAUGCCCACAUUCAUCAGCAUAGCGCUUCAGCAGCCGCUUUUCUUUCAUAAAAAGAUACAAGUGUGAAUCAGUCUUGCAUUUCAGAAGAUUCUUGCUGGUCCCCUGUAUCGAUACUGUUCCCAGCUGCAUCGGCAUCUCUGAUCUCUCAAUGUCCAGCUAUAGCCUGGGACUUGUUCCGUGCAUCUUGAUGUUCCUAGGUCUUGAAGACAGGCUUCUUGCCCACCCAUCCUCUCAGUUUUGACACCUUCUCGUCAUGGGUUCUUACAGUGGACUUAUUUCUUGUGCUGCCACAGAGCCUCUAACACCUCAGCAUUGCCUCUCGGUAGGCAGUCUUCUUGCCUCUCAGUACGCAGUCUCGUCCAACAGUUCUGGAUCCUGGAGAUGUUCUUCUUACUGAGUGUUUUGUCUAAUUGUUUGUGGGCUCAUUUCAUGUUAGUCUGUGUGUAUGUUCAGUUUGGAGCUGCUCUGCCCGGGGCUGCCAGAGGAGUCAUAAGAGCCUCUGGUGUGAAUGUUCCUGCGCCUUGAGUGUCGAGGCCAAGGUUGUACGGUCAUCUUGGCCGAAUCAGCCAUUGUUAGGAUGGGUGGGCAGUCAUCUCCACGGUGUUUAAUGGAGAUGAUCGGAGCCUUGUGGGAGGGCUUGCUCAAUAGUAGUGGAACCGAUGGACUCUCAAAGGUGUUAUGUCAAGUAUGUGUGGGCCUUAAAGUUCCACGGUGGGAUGCUUAGUAACAGGCUGGAGUUGAACUCCAAAUGGUAUUACUGAGGAGUAGCAAGUUCUGUGGAAUCUGCAAGCUCUAGAUUGUAAUAUGGCAAUUCUGUGUAAUUUUGUUUAUCAGAUAGAGAGCAAUCGGACGCAAGCUCCACAACAGCAGAGGCGGGAGCAGAGCAACACAAGAAGGUUUGUUAGCGUGUGGUGUCAGAGGGAACCGGCUCCAGCGGCCGAAUCCAGGUCUCGGAGGGUUUGUCUUUUUGAAGGUGGGAUGUGAUGGAGAAAGCUUUCUGUCAGCCCCCAGUUUGAGCAGGUCUGCGGUGCACGUCGGGUAUCGGAUGAGCGUCAGGUACGACUCCUGUGUCCGUACGGGUUUAGGUUGUACAGUCCAGGCUUAUAAUUUUCUGUGGUCUGGAUUUGUUUUAUAUUGCUUUCUAAGUGUAUUUAAUGGCAGUGUAUUGACUAUGUAUUUCAUGACUGUGUUUCUCUUGCAUCUAUGAUCAUCUUGUAUGUGUCUGGGUGUUGCAUUUUAUGUAGCAACGCAUAUUGCAUUAGUACGGCUUUGUAUAGGGUUUGUCGCUCUGAUGUAGUACCAAAAUUAUCGAUGGGAUGUGUCACUAGCAAAUGAUUUGACUUGCAGAUGUAUGCGAUUUUGUGUAACGAUGUGUAACUCGUACGCAUGUACGUUCACUUAUUUCCUUUGCGCAGUUUGUAUAAUUGUAAUGUAUUUGCUGUGACGGUCGUUCCUCAUAGCGGCAAAUAAUCGGCGUCUCAGACUCAUCAUUGUCCUCUGUGGUGUUGCUUGACCAUCCACGUAUAGCCUGUGAGUUGUUGUAGUCGAGUGGUAAGAGGUGCUUUGCAUUUGAUUAACCGUUGUAUUGGACUCAGUGGUAACCCUUUGAGUCAGUGAUGUACUAGAUUUGACUGAACUGUCCUUUACCAUGUAUCGUAUAAGAUGUUGUACUAAAGCCUUGUAUGUGAUUGUAUAUUGUAGCAGACAGAGUGUUGCAUUUUGUGCCUGUGUACGGUAU